GCCAGUGUGGCCUAGUGAUUUGGGGGUUGGAUUAUGACUCUGGAGACCAGGGUUCGAUCCCCACCUCUGGCA